rnacentral:lncRNA from 1 species
GCAGGCGGCUGCUAGGGGUGUUUGCCGCUUCGCUGGCUUUCUUUGAGAUGGAAUUAUCAAUGGGCGCAGGGAUCUCCCCUAGAUCGAGGAAUCCGGUUGUUUAAAGCCCCAGGGUGCCCUCAGCAAGUGGCUUCAAUAGGGCUUCGCUGAACGAUCCCCAUCCUCGCGUGUCCUGGGCUGGUGGCUGAAGUAGGCGGGCGCGAAAAAGUGAUGGGUUACACGGACUGCGUGCUGGACCUGCGUGCCUCGGGACACUAGGAAGGGAAGGGGAAUUUGCCACUUUGCGGGGGAAGGAGGAGGAAGAGAGAGCAGAAAUGCAAAGCGGGGUGGGGGGGCUCCCCAAGAAGAAAACAGAAAGGAGGAGGAAGAAAGCGAGCGAGAGCAACCCCACCCUUCGAAAAGGUCGCUAUCCUUAAGAAAGCAGACACGGGGUCCCCUGACCCCUGCGGGAAACGCCCCAGCGUGGAACGCGCAACCCGGGCGCUGCCUGCCCUGCCACUCGUGGCCCCCGCCCUGAGGAGCCGGCUGCGCGGGUGCGCAAGCAGGUGACUUUAUUCACUGUUUCCCCAAUCGGCGAGGUCCCGGGACUCGUUUUCCGCCUGGAGAUUAAGAUCAUUGCUCGCGUAAUGAACUUAAUGCUUUAGGGUAGAGCUCUGCCUUGGGAGAGAAUGCGACGGACUCGUUGUCAGGAAGAUUGGACCAAAAGCAGAUAGUCUCCCCAACCCCUCCCCCCGCUCCUCCCCGCCAUCAGCGACUCCCUCAAGGGGCGAUUUCCCACACUCUACACCGCCCUGUCCUGGGCCUUGGGAUUCCCAACCUCGUGUAGACUCUGCACCUGGCUACCUAAGUGCCACGGGAUGCCCCACAGUCAAGUGGGUGAGGGGUGGUCAGGGAGAGGGGAGUGAAACGGGGCGACAUGCCGGGCCACACAAGGCACCCCACGACCCAGUUCCACGCCACUCCACCCGGCGUCCAAGCGCCUACCAGGGAGCUCCGCAUCGUCAGGUUUUUACUGUCUAUACAUCCGAGGGCCUGCUGGGAUCCGAAAGGCUGGGGAAAGUCUGCAAAGGCUUUAAAGUGAUCCCGAGGAGCUCCUACC